rnacentral:ncRNA from 1 species
GAAAUUUACGAGUGGUCGUCAAGUAGAGCUGCACCUCAGCGUUCAGAAAACCGGUGGUCGAUGCGAACCGGACAGGGUGUCUGUUGCGAAAUACCCGACAAAAUAAGCCCGUACGGAUUGGGCCGGUACCGUUAGCAACUGGCAAGAGUGAAAAGCUGUCAUUGACUCUUUUCAGUUGGGUGGUACCACGUUUAGGCGUCCCGAUU